GUUAUUAAUACUCUACCACAUGUAUAGGGUUAGGAAUGAUACAGAGAUUAGCAUGGGCACUGCACAAGGAUGACACGCAGAUUCCUGAAGCAUUUCAUACACAU
ensembl:snRNA U6 U6 spliceosomal RNA